rnacentral:rRNA from 1 species
GAUGAACGCUGGCGGCGUGCUUAACACAUGCAAGUCGAACGAAGCACCUUGAUUUGAUUCUUCGGAUGAAGAUCUUGGUGACUGAGUGGCGGACGGGUGAGUAACGCGUGGGUAACCUGCCUCAUACAGGGGGAUAACAGUUAGAAAUGACUGCUAAUACCACAUAAGACCACAGCACCGCAUGGUGCAGGGGUAAAAACUCCGGUGGUAUGAGAUGGACCCGCGUCUGAUUAGGUGGUUGGUGGGGGAACGGCCUACCAAGCCGACGAUCAGUAGCCGACCUGAGAGGGUGACCGGCCACAUUGGGACUGAGACACGGCCCAAACUCCUACGGGAGGCAGCAGUGGGGAAUAUUGCACAAUGGGGGAAACCCUGAUGCAGCGACGCCGCGUGAGCGAUGAAGUAUUUCGGUAUGUAAAGCUCUAUCAGCAGGGAAGAAAAUGACGGUACCUGACUAAGAAGCACCGGCUAAAUACGUGCCAGCAGCCGCUGUAAGAC